AAAUUGUCAACUGAUAAAAGAAGCAAAAAAUUGAGGAAUCGAGAAGACGAAAGAAGGAAUAAACAUGCGAAGGUUUCAGUCAAGAAGCUUUCUUGGUACUGUUCCCACAGACGGAGGUCAUCAAGAAGUCUCCCAAUAGCUCGAGAUUCUCUCUAUAUUCUCUCUGAGUUUGUUGCUGCCCUUCCCAAGUUGUGCUGUUGCCAUCUUGCCGAGGAGGAUCUGCAGAAAGAGAAGAUUUGAUCAACGUAUGGAAGCAGUGACGAAAGAGAACUAGUAUUACAAAAGGAGAUGCAAGAUUCAAGCUCCCUGCUGCAAUGAGAUCUAUCCGUGUCGCCAUUGUCACAACGAGUAUUGGUUACUCUAGUAUUACAAAAGGUUGGAUGCUCUGAUUUUGGUUCUGAAAUCAAUCUUGAUCCUCUCUGUAUAUGUUUGCCUUGUGAUCCUCUUUGAUUUUGGUUCUUGGUGACCUGAAUGAUAGAUAUAUAUCUUAGUGGUAGUAGAAGUUCAACGUACAUUUUGAAGAUGCCAUCAAUGAUGUUAGUAUAAACUUUCUUCACUUUUCCUUCUUGAUGGUGAAGAAGGUUAAGUGAGGUGUACACUUUAUACACACACCAAGUAGAUUGGAAUUUAAUGUUUUUCCUCCUGUAACUUUUGAUGAACAUUAGUGAGGUAGAUGUUUUGUCUCCUAUGCUUCACAUAUCAUUAUUGAUUAAGCCUCUGUGAUAUUACCUA